rnacentral:rRNA from 1 species
GACGAACGCUGGCGGCGUGCUUAACACAUGCAAGUCGAGCGGUAAGGCCCUUUCGGGGGUACACGAGCGGCGAACGGGUGAGUAACACGUGGGUGACCUGCCCUCAGCUCUGGGAUAAGCCUGGGAAACCGGGUCUAAUACUGGAUAUGACUCCAUGACGCAUGUUGUGGGGUGGAAAGCCUUGUGCGGCUGAGGAUGGGCCCGCGGCCUAUCAGCUUGUUGGUGGGGGNGA